GACGUGCAAUCUGCAGAGAGGGCAACUCGAAUGGUUACGGAGCCAGGCGUCGAUGCAAGAACUAUGAAACGAAUGAUUGCAAUUAGGUAGCAAACGAAUCGUCGAAGCCUCCAAUCCAUGGACAUGCACUUCCGGAGAAGGAUCGUUAGGGUUUUCAUCGAAUUGGACAACAGAUCGACCGCAAAACAAUCCAUGAAGGACACGACACCAUCGUUUCAAUAUUCUGUAGUUGCUCAACAGUAGAACGACGAUGCAAACGAUGGCGAUGAUCGAGAAUGACCAUGGACUCCAGCUCGAGUAAUCAGGUACCGGAGAUGGCGGCGGCGGCGGUGGCGGACUCGAUGGCAUAAUCUGAGCGUUACCAUUUGGAGCCAUCAGCCAGGCACUGUUGAAGCAAGAACCAGAAGAUGAACAAAUUUGAGAAGACCCACGAG